UAAGUCGGCAUGGCCAGUUGGCGUCAAUGUGUCAGUUGUUGGUGGUUGUCGGAGUUGUGUCAUCCUUUCAUCUCUUCAUACUGUGAAUAUCUGUGACGCAAGCUACUGUGCCACGCGCAGUAUCUUCAAAGUAACCAGUUGAAGGCCGGCCGAACCAAGAGAAGGUACAAGCGGGACAUAGGAACCAAAUCCGAACUACGGUGUGAAGCAAGGACAUCGUAUGACAAGGCACCGAAGACGGGCGAGAAGAUUAUUCCUUCGAACGCUUCAGCGUGCAUUUCAUCUGAAACAUCGUCUACGCAGAGUGCAGCUUACAUGAGAUCUUUUAAAGCUCCACAGUGUGUGUUGCUGUGAAAUAUAUGAUAUGAUGUAAUAGGUGAUGUGACUGCAGAUGUGAUGUGCUGAACAGUAUGCGUGAACAUGUG